CACGGAGUUAGCCGAUCCUUAUUCCUUCGGUACAUUCAGCUAUUUACACGUAAAUAGGUUUAUUCCCGAAUAAAAGCAGCUUACGACCCAGAGGGCUGUCUUCCUGCACGCGGCAUGGCUGGUUCAGAGUUGCCUCCAUUGACCAAUAUUCCUUACUGCUGCCUCCCGUAGGAGUCUGGUCCGUGUCUCAGUACCAGUGUGGGGGGCCAUCCUCUCAGAUCCCCUAGUCAUCGUCGCCUUGGUGGGCCGUUACCCCGCCAACUAGCUAAUGACACGCAUGCCCAUCUUAAAUCCUAUAAAUAUUUGAUCAUUGUACAAUGCUGUACUGUGAUUUUAUGCGGUGUUAAAUCCGAAUUUCUUCGGGCUAUCCCCCUGAUUAAGGUAGGUUGCAUACGCGUUACGCACCCGUGCGCCACUUUCCAUCCAGCAAAGCUGGAUGGUAUCGUUCGACUUGCAUGUAUUAGGCCUGCCGCUAGCGUUCAUCCUGAGCCGAGA
rnacentral:rRNA from 1 species